GCAGAGCUGUGAGGUCAAAGGGCAACAAACACAAGUCAGGGGGCACAGAGACAGUCAGAGACAUCACAUGCAUAAGAAUAAUGCUAUAAAUGUUAUUAUAACAGUAUUAUAAUAGCUAUAAAUCAUAGGUAGUAUCAUAUUUUGAUGGCAGCGUAGUGAGAAUCAGUAUGACGUGAAAGGUUAUGUUACUACGACACAUAAGUUGUUAUAACAAUAAACUAUUUAUGUUAUAAUAUGAAACGUUUUCAUGUGAUAACUUAUCGUUACACAUUAUAACAAGACAGAAUGUAUAUUAGUGUAACAAGAAAAGGUAAAACAUGUUAUAACUUAAGUUUGUUUGUCAGAAUCACGUGAAAAUAUUUUGCUAUAACAUAAAAAAAUGCUUUUUUAAUGUGAUACUAUUUAGUUCUUCUUGGCAGCAAUGGGCUUCCAUACAGUUUAUCAUAAUCACCAGGUGGUGGAGGAAGUUUAACUGAAGUACAAGGACGAAUACAACACUGCGAUAUUCCCGAUAUUACUGCUGCAUCAAUGUGCAUGUUGCAUUUUUAUUAAAGGUAGCUGUUGUGUCAAUAAUUGUCAAGAGAAAGACGGAAACAAAUGAAAGAAAUAUGGUGGGAAAAAAGAAAGAUGGGGUGAAUGGGCUUUGCCGAGAUUUGUCCGAUAUUAUUGGCAAUAAUCAGGACAGAAUCAUCAGAAAACUGAAUAAAUGAGAGCUGAGGACAAACAGAUGAACAUGAGGUGGUUUGUGUUUUAUUGUCUCGUGACUGAUGACAGAAAGAAAAACAUACAGUGACACGCCAACACUGAUACAUGGACAUGAACAUACAGUCUAUGAGUGAAGAUGGACACACAGAAACAGCUUACAUGUACAGAGAUGGUAACAGAUGCUGUGAUACAGAUGAAGAUGAGUUGACCUUCAAAAUAAAAUCUCAUAUUAGAUCACUAUUUAUACUUCUAUUACCCCAUGAGCACAUUUAGCCUAAAGGCCUUAAUAAAUACACCUAAAUUACGACUGCAUUUUAAGUAUUGCACGCUCCCAUUUGCCAAUAAACUCACAUGUUCCUUUACUUUCAACAUGACAGCAGUUUGCAGGUGAAUGAUUCUUAGUGCAACAGUAGUGUGGGUAUAUACGGUGUGUCUGUGGAUGUUUUUAACAUCAUUAAACCUGCAACUGUUCAGUUUUAGGACACAGUAUUAACAUAUAAUAACUCUUUUUAACACAUUUAGCAAAAGAGCAACACUAACUUGUCAAGUUUCUGAACGUACGACAAAUAUAAAUCCAAUAUUGACUCUGCUUUUAGCUCCAUUUUUGGUCCCCACCGACUUCUGAGAGAAAUAUCUGGUUCUUUUGGUGCUAAAAUGUGCCAUGAUGUUCAACAGCUAGUUGAUUUUUGGUGGUGAGGGGUGAGAGUGAACCAAACUAUUAAAACUUCAGGCU